ensembl:lncRNA
GGAUGGUCAAGAGAGUGAUGGGGGUGGGGGAAACCUAUGGGUUCCGAUUUUUUUCCAAACCAGCUGCAGCACUGGGGAGGGGGAGGAGUGUGGGGGUAGACCCAGGGUGCAGGGCACCCCGGAGCCAAACACUAUUCAUGCAUCCUGGGUUGGUGAGAUGGAGGAAGAGGGGGGGAUGUCGGGAGUACGGAUGGUGUUCUCACCGGUAGAUAUGGAGCAGGGGAGCAUCGGGUGAGUCUCUUGUUUUUUUUUUUCUGUCUGGGUUUAGAAUUUGAGUGUAUUACAUGUUUUUAUUUCAUUCUUUCAUGGGGUCUAAUUUUACUUUUGUUAGUUUAAAUGUAAGGGGUUUAAGGGAUUUUGUUAAGAGGAGGGUGUGGGGUUUGAUUUUUGUUUUUUUACAGGAGGUUCACCUGAGGGAUGGAGGGGAUGUUAUUAGGUUUAAGAGGGAGUGGGACAAGGGGGAGUCGGUUUGGGGUAUUGGGGGGGUGCACUCAUCGGGGGUAGGGAUUUUGUGUGGGCACAGGGAGGUAAAAGUGGAGGAUUCUUUUGUGGUAAUGCAGGGGAGGGUUAUAGGGGUGGAUGUCACGAUAAGGGAUUGUAAAUUUAGAUUAGUGGUGGUGUAUGGGCCAAAGGUGGUGGCUCGACUAUAUUUUUGUACCCAGGUCUUUGGGUAAGUUGUCUGGGAGGCUGUUGCCUGUUUUCUUUUCGGAUCACGACGGGGUGCUCCUGCAGGUGGGGUCGCCAGUCUGCCUCUUUGGUAGGGGGUACUGGAAGAUAGAUCGGGAUGUGCUGGAGGAGCAGGCUUUUGUUGACGGGUUUUAUGGUUUCUUUUGGAGGCUUGAAGGCCUCUGGUCCAUGUGCGAGGGGGUGUUAGAGUGGUGGGAAUUAGUUAAGGUGAGGAUUAGGGCUUUUAUAAUAGGGUAUUGCAAGAGGAAAAAAAGGGAGGAGAGGAGGAAGGUGGAUCGUAUCCAAAGGUUAAUUGAACUCGAGUACGAGGCAGGCAACCUCGGCGGGUCGUUUGACUGGGAGAGAUCCGCAACCCUAAAGGCGCAGCUCAGGGAGAUGCAGGAGCAGAAGGCUCGAGCUUUCCUGGAGCGUGCGCAUAGUGGCUUUCUAGAACACAAUGAGACUUGUUCUGCUAUGUUCUUUAAGUCGGUUAGGGCCAGACAGAGUAGGAAGGUAAUGCAUGGCGUUAGGGAAGAAAAUGGUAGUAUAGUUAGAGAACCAGAGGAUAUGGUCAGGGUGACAACUGAUCAUUUCCAAGGUUUAUUUAAGGAAAGGGAAAUAGAUGUAGAGCAGGGAAAUGUGUUUUUAGAACACUUGUCCAGGCGGUUGCCGGAGGACAUUAGAGAAGUGAUGGAGGCCCAGAUUUCACUAGAAGAGGUUGAGAGCGCUCUUAGGAGGAUGGGAAAAGGGAAGGUGCCUGGAAUGGAUGGGCUGCCGGC